rnacentral:rRNA from 1 species
UACGAAGGGGGCGAGCGUUGUUCGGAUUUACUGGGCGUAAAGGGCGCGCAGGCGGCUCAUUUUGUCAGGCGUGAAAGCCCCGGGCUUAACCUGGGAACUGCGUUUGAUACGGAUGGGCUAGAGUUCGGGAGAGGAGAGUGGAAUUCCCAGUGUAGAGGUGAAAUGCGCAGAUAUCAGGAGGAACACCAAUGGCGAAGGCAGCUCGCUGGGACGUGACUGACGCUGAGACGCGAAAGCGUGGGGAGCAAACAGG